rnacentral:lncRNA from 1 species
AGUUGGUUAAUAGCCACUAAGGAUGUAGACUUAGCGAUCUCAACUCCUCCCUCACUACUUCAACCCAGAAGAUGCCAACAUAUUCAGCCAAAUAUGUCCAACAUGGCAGCUAGAGCUUGCUGAGCUUGCUUACCUGAGAGUUCUUGUUCACAGAUAAAUAAGGAGCAGAUCUCUUUCCAACCUCUAAUGAAGCUAGCCCAGUAAGACACCUUAAGGCCUGGAAGUCAAUUACUUUAGCUUGGAAGCUAGCCGACCUUCAAAUUCUGAGGUUUAAGAAAGGUUUUAUAUAAAAAUGAUUACAAUUCUAUACUAAAUUUCCAAAUAAGAUUGACCAUAGAUUUAGGGUGAAGGAACCCAGAAGACAUCUAGUCCAACCUAUGCAUUUUACAGAAAUGGAAAAUCUAAAACCCAGGGACUUGCCCAGAGACCCAAAGGGAGUAAGUCAGAAGCAGCCUCCGAACCAUCUGCCUCUAGAGAUAGCGAAUGCUCUUUCCACUACGAGCCGGGGCUACACCAAAUUUACAUCCUCCCUACAUCUGCACAUAAGGCAUGAAGACAUUGAGAGGCAAAAUAUAACUAUUUUUACAUGUGAGAACUUUGUGUUCCUGCCAAAUCUGAAGACUUAA